UUUUCCUCCCCCCACCCCCCUCCCUUUCCCCUCUCCUUCCUGCCUCCCUUUCACCUCGCCUCCUCCCGUCUUUCCUUUCCUCCUUCCCUUCCUCCCUCUCCUCUUCUUCUUCUCAGCAUCAGCAAGGGCUCAGCGGGCACCAUCCUCUUCUUCGUCUCUGGGGAAGAAGGCGAAGAAGAGGAAGACAGACAUCGUUACAAGACACCCUUCAAAUGAAGUUGGUGAUGUGACAGAGGCAGAACUGAUGUACACUUUCCAUAUCAGGAUGAACAUGUCUGAAUUUCAUGUUCAGGGGGUACUGUCUCGUCGACUGACUCCCAGGUACCUCCACCCGCACAUCCAGGGACAGGCAAACAUUAGGUAAUGUCCCAGUGCAAACAGAAGUCCAUUGUAGAGGAGCCGUCACCCUGGUCAUGCGUACACUGCAGAGGAGCUGUUGGGUCGGAAAGAGUUCAUGCAGCAACACAAGCUCACCAUCUAUAAACUGUCUGUGAUCAUUAUAUACACAUGGCACAUCUCUCUCUCUGUAACCCCCCC